rnacentral:rRNA from 1 species
AUUGACUGCUGGCCGCAGGCCUAACACAUGCAUGUCGAACGAGUGGCGGACGGGUGAGUAAUGUCUGGGAAACUUCCUGAUUGAGGGGCAUAACUACUGGAAACGGUAGCUACUACCGCAUACCUCCGCAUGUGCCCAGAUGGGAUUAGCUAGUUGGUGGGGUAAAGGCUCACCUAGGAGACGCUCCCUCGCUGGUCUGAGAGGACGACCAGCCACACUGGAACUGAGACACGGUCCAGACUCCUACGGGAGGCAGCAGUGGGGAAUAUUGCACAAUGGGCGCAAGCCUGAUGCAGCCAUGACGCGUGUAUGAAGAAGGCCUUCGGGUUGUAAAGUACUUUCAGCGGGGAGGCGUUACCCGCAGAAGAAGAACCGGCUAACUCCGUGCCAGCAGCCGCGGUAAUUC